AGCGAACGCUGGCGGCAGGCUUAACACAUGCAAGUCGAGCGGGCGUAGCAAUACGUCAGCGGCAGACGGGUGAGUAACGCGUGGGAACGUACCUUUUGGUUCGGAACAACUGAGGGAAACUUCAGCUAAUACCGGAUAAGCCCUAACGGGGAAAGAUUUAUCGCCGAAAGAUCGGCCCGCGUCUGAUUAGCUAGUUGGUGAGGUAACGGCUCACCAAGGCGACGAUCAGUAGCUGGUCUGAGAGGAUGAUCAGCCACACUGGGACUGAGACACGGCCCAGACUCCUACGGGAGGCAGCAGUGGGGAAUAUUGGACAAUGGGGGCAACCCUGAUCCAGCCAUGCCGCGUGAGUGAUGAAGGCCCUAGGGUUGUAAAGCUCUUUUGUGCGGGAAGAUAAUGACGGUACCGCAAGAAUAAGCCCCGGCUAACUUCGUGCCAGCAGCCGCGGUAAUACGAAGGGGGCUAGCGUUGCUCGGAAUCACUGGGCGUAAAGGGUGCGUAGGCGGGUCUUUAAGUCAGAGGUGAAAUCCUGGAGCUCAACUCCAGAACUGCCUUUGAUACUGAGGAUCCUGAGUCCGGAAGAGGUGAGUGGAACUGCGAGUGUAGAGGUGAAAUUCGUAGAUAUUCGCAAGAACACCAGUGGCGAAAGCGGCUCACUGGUCCGGUACUGACGCUGAGGCACGAAAGCGUGGGGGAGCAACAGGAUUAGAUACCCUGGUAGUCCACGCUGUAAACGAU
rnacentral:rRNA from 1 species